rnacentral:lncRNA from 1 species
UAAAAAAGCGCUCCAAAAAAAGGAAAACAGAAAACGGCCAAAUUAUAGCCACAGCUUUAUUUUCUUCUUAUUAUUUUUUAUACCCUCCCUGACGCUACUACUAUGCUUCAAAGUUCAAAUGUAAAUGGCGCCAUUUUUGAAUGUGUCUAGCUACUCAACGUCGCUCCCAGUAAAGUUGUAAACACGAUACACCACCUACAUUGAUCAGUCGUCAACUUUCAAAAUCCUAUUAAUACAACUAGAAAUGACAGUUCGGAACUUCAUACGUCGUUUGGUUAUGGAUCAAUCUCAUUUGGAAGGAUUGACUAUGAAACUCCAAACGUACAUCUCUACAAUUGAAAAAAGGAUAUAGAUUUUGAAUGCCACCUUUCAAUAUACGACUACAGUAAUAAUAGCUUGAGAUACGAGUAGUACUCCAAUAUAGGGGUUUCUGAGUUACAAUCUGGAUUUUGAACAAGAAUUUGUGUUGACAUAUAUUUUAUGUAUAUUUAUACAUUUAAACGAACUAGUCGAGAGUUGAUAGUGGAACGCCAGAGCCGCUUCAAGCUUAAUUCUUCCAAGUUAUUUCUUAAUUAAGGGAAUAAAUUGAUUUGACUUACGAGCUCCGUCUACGAACGAGCUUACCUAUCGAGAAUGGAGUGAGUGAGAUUGCUUCAUAAUAUUAUAUUGUACUAUAAUUAUGUAUACUAUUAAUUCGAUCAUCUAAUCAUUAAUUAACAUCAUUUGUGGCUCAUGACACGAUGAGGAUAUAAACAUAUAUAUCACAAAGGA